UGUUCAUUUGAGUGGCCGACAUGUCAAUGCUGUACGCUUACAGGUACAACCGCAUUGCUGUGUAUCACCUGUGCAGCUUCCAAGUCACUCUGCUGUACCGUGAAACAGUGUUAAAACCAAACCUUCACCCUUGGCUAACACCAUACUCUACCAGAGGAGCUACAGGAACAGGCUACAUUCUACAGCAACAUUGUUUUCAAGUCACAAACACAAAGUCCAGCAGCAACAAAUAAAGAUCAAGGCUGUAGGACUGCACAGGCUGUAGAUUCCGCUAUUUCAUGUUCCCUGAAGUGCAAGGUUUUGCCCUGCAACACCAAGUCCCAAAGUUGAGUACUAACCCAACCCUUCCACUAACUGUUGUUUUACACCUCUCUGACCCGUUACAAACUGACAUCAGCCACCACUUCUGUGGCACCAGCCUUCCUCCAGAU